AAAGUUGGAGAAGCAACUGGCAGAAAUUCAUGAGAUAAAUUACAUUCUUGAUGCAUAUGUCUCUCUUGGGAGGUCUGAUGCUUUAAAUGGAAAAGUCACUAUUGCAUCAUCAGGAAGACCGGAUGCCAUUGCAAAGGCUCAGCCUGUGCUUUCUGGUAAUGCAUUGAGAUCUAUUUAGUUAUUAUAAUCGAACUUGACUUUUAUGUCUUAAAGAAAAGUGUAAUUCUUUUUAAUAUAUUUUUAUAUUAGCUAAUUGUCUCUCUCUUUUUGGACAGCAAUGUAUGAAAAGCUUUUCACUUUUGAGGGUGAAAUUGGUGGUGGCAGGUUAUUUCUUUCUUUGGUCUUGCCAAACCUACUUUAUAUAAUUAGAUACAAUUUUUCUGAUAAACUUAGAUAAUGGUCCUAAAUUGCUCUAAUAACAAAGCUAACUUCUGUUGUUAUAAUAUUAUCUGUCUCACUGCUUUUAGUGACUUUAGGGGCUUAUGUUUUUAGAUCUUUGAUACUUGUGUUUGAAAA